rnacentral:tRNA from 1 species
AGCCCAGGAGGUGACAAACACAUCAAAAUGCAAAUUUGAAGAAGCACAUAGAGGUGCCGGGGCUU